rnacentral:sRNA from 1 species
GGUUCCAGCUGAAGGCCUCUUUCCUAGACCACAAGGGCAGGACUCGCUUCUUACCCUAAGGCCUGGAGCAAGUCCCCAGAUCUUAGACAGCGUGCAUGCACACAGAUCUUUCAGAUCUUUCAGUGGCUCGCUGCAUGCCCACCAAGAAGCAAUGCCACUGUCUGCAGUGGGCAAGCUGAGUGGGUCAGUGGUGAGGGGGCAUCAUUCAUCAACAGUGCCACUUUAUACAGGCAGUGCGCUAGGCAUGCACCAACCAAAUGGAGUUCAUAUUCAGAGCAGC